rnacentral:misc_RNA from 1 species
GAUGAAGAACGUAGCGAAAUGCGAUACGUAGUGUGAAUUGCAGAAUUCAGUGAAUCAUCGAAUCUUUGAACGCACAUUGCACCUCUCGGUAUUCCGGGAGGUAUGCCUGUUCGAGCGUCAUUUGUACCCUCAAGCUCUGCUUGGUGUUGGGUGUUUGUUCCGCCUCUGUGUGUGAACUCGCCUCAAAACAAUUGGCAGCCGGCGUACUUGUUUCGGAGCGCAGCACAUUUUGCGAUCCAGAUCAAUGUACAGCGGCAUCCAAGAAGCCUUAUUUAACGCUCUUGACCUCGGAUCAGGUAGGGAUACCCGCUGAACUUAAGCAUAUCAAUAAGCGGAGGA